GAUGAACGCUGGCGGCGUGCCUAAUACAUGCAAGUCGAGCGAACAGACGAGGAGCUUGCUCCUCUGACGUUAGCGGCGGACGGGUGAGUAACACGUGGAUAACCUACCUAUAAGACUGGGAUAACUUCGGGAAACCGGGGCUAAUACCGGAUAAUAUAUUGAACCGCAUGGUUCAAUAGUGAAAGACGGUUUUGCUGUCACUUAUAGAUGGAUCCGCGCCGCAUUAGCUAGUUGGUAAGGUAACGGCUUACCAAGGCAACGAUGCGUAGCCGACCUGAGAGGGUGAUAGGCCACACGGGAACUGAGACACGGUCCAGACUCCUACGGGAGGCAGCAGUAGGGAAUCUUCCGCAAAGGGCGAAAGCCUGACGGAGCAACGCCGCGUGAGUGAUGAAGGUCUUCGGAUCGUAAAACUCUGUUAUUAGGGAAGAACAAAUGUGUAAGUAACUAUGCACGUCUUGACGGUACCUAAUCAGAAAGCCACGGCUAACUACGUG
rnacentral:rRNA from 1 species